GACGAACGCUGGCGGCGUGCUUAACACAUGCAAGUCGAACGAAGAGCGAUGGAAGCUUGCUUCUAUCAAUCUUAGUGGCGAACGGGUGAGUAACGCGUAAUCAACCUGCCCUUCAGAGGGGGACAACAGUUGGAAACGACUGCUAAUACCGCAUACGAUCCAAUCUCGGCAUCGGGACUGGAUGAAAGGUGGCCUCUAUUUAUAAGCUAUCACUGAGGGAGGGGAUUGCGUCUGAUUAGCUAGUUGGAGGGGUAACGGCCCACCAAGGCGAUGAUCAGUAGCCGGUCUGAGAGGAUGAACGGCCACAUUGGGACUGAGACACGGCCCAGACUCCUACGGGAGGCAGCAGUGGGGAAUCUUCCGCAAUGGACGAAAGUCUGACGGAGCAACGCCGCGUGAGUGAUGACGGCCUUCGGGUUGUAAAGCUCUGUUAAUCGGGACGAAUGGUUCUUGUGCGAAUAGUGCGAGGAUUUGACGGUACCGGAAUAGAAAGCCACGGCUAACUACGUG
rnacentral:rRNA from 1 species